GAGUGGCGGACGGGUGAGUAAUGCUUGGGAACUUGCCUUUGCGAGGGGGAUAACAGUUGGAAACGACUGCUAAUACCGCAUAAUGUCUUCGGACCAAACGGGGCUUCGGCUCCGGCGCAAAGAGAGGCCCAAGUGAGAUUAGCUAGUUGGUAAGGUAACGGCUUACCAAGGCGACGAUCUCUAGCUGUUCUGAGAGGAAGAUCAGCCACACUGGGACUGAGACACGGCCCAGACUCCUACGGGAGGCAGCAGUGGGGAAUAUUGCACAAUGGGGGAAACCCUGAUGCAGCCAUGCCGCGUGUGUGAAGAAGGCCUUCGGGUUGUAAAGCACUUUCAGUUGUGAGGAAAAGUUAGUAGUUAAUACCUGCUAGCCGUGACGUUAACAACAGAAGAAGCACCGGCUAACUCCGUGCCAGCAGCCGCGGUAAUACGGAGGGUGCGAGCGUUAAUCGGAAUUACUGGGCGUAAAGCGCACGCAGGCGGUUUGUUAAGCUAGAUGUGAAAGCCCCGGGCUCAACCUGGGAUGGUCAUUUAGAACUGGCAGACUAGAGUCUUGGAGAGGGGAGUGGAAUUCCAGGUGUAGCGGUGAAAUGCGUAGAUAUCUGGAGGAACAUCAGUGGCGAAGGCGACUCNNCUGGCCAAAGACUGACGCUCAUGUGCGAAAGUGUGGGUAGCGAACAGGAUUAGAUACCCUGGUAGUCCACACCGUAAACGCUGUCUACUAGCUGUGUGUG
rnacentral:rRNA from 1 species